UACGUAGGGUGCGAGCGUUGUCCGGAUUUAUUGGGUGUAAAGAGCUCGUAGGCGGCUCGUCGCGUCGACCGUGAAAACCCGCGGCUUAACUGCGGGCUUGCGGUUGAUACGGGCGGGCUAGAGUUCGGUAGGGGAGACUGGAAUUCCUGGUGUAGCGGUGAAAUGCGCAGAUAUCAGGAGGAACACCGGUGGCGAAGGCGGGUCUCUGGGCCGAUACUGACGCUGAGGAGCGAAAGCGUGGGGAGCGAACAGG
rnacentral:rRNA from 1 species